UACGUAGGGGGCAAGCGUUGUCCGGAUUUAUUGGGCGUAAAGAGCGUGUAGGCGGCCAAGCAGGUCCGCUGUGAAAACUCGAGGCUCAACCUCGAGACGUCGGUGGAAACCGUUUGGCUAGAGUCCGGAAGAGGAGAGUGGAAUUCCCGGUGUAGCGGUGAAAUGCGCAGAUAUCGGGAGGAACACCGAUGGCGAAGGCAGCACUCUGGGCCGGCACUGACGCUGAGGAGCGAAAGCGUGGGGAGCGAACAGG
rnacentral:rRNA from 1 species